GAUGAACGCUGGCGGCGUGCCUAAUACAUGCAAGUCGAGCGAACAGACGAGGAGCUUGCUCCUCUGACGUUAGCGGCGGACGGGUGAGUAACACGUGGAUAACUUACCUAUAAGACUGGGAUAACUUCGGGAAACCGGAGCUAAUACCGGAUAAUAUAUUGAACCGCAUGGUUCAAUAGUGAAAGACGGUUUUGCUGUCACUUAUAGAUGGAUCCGCGCCGCAUUAGCUAGUUGGUAAGGUAACGGCUUACCAAGGCAACGAUGCGUAGCCGACCUGAGAGGAUGAUCGGCCACACUGGAACUGAGACACGGUCCAGACUCCUACGGGAGGCAGCAGUAGGGAAUCUUCCGCAAUGGGCGAAAGCUUGACGGAGCAACGCCGCGUGAGUGAUGAAGGUCUUCGGAUCGUAAAACUCUGUUAUUAGGGAAGAACAAAUGUGUAAGUAACUAUGCACGUCUUGACGGUACCUAAUCAGAAAGCCACGGCUAACUACGUG
rnacentral:rRNA from 1 species